rnacentral:lncRNA from 1 species
AAGAGACACCCUGGUUCCCAUCUUGGGAGCAGCCGGGAGCCACGUGGGGACAGGACACACAGCCUAAGGCAAGUGUCUCCCAGCCUCUCUGUUGAAGCCCAGGGUCAGGGUCGUCCCUGCGGACCGGAGGCUGGCAAGCUGGCGCAGCGCCUGCUUUUAGCCAGCCUGGCAGGACGCUGUGGGCGGGGGGCCUGGGCAGAGCUGGGGAGCCUGGGGGUGGACGGCAGGACGGCCGAGGGCCCCAGGGCCUCUCCUCGGGACAGGAACAGGAGGCUGCCCCCUGGGGUUCCUGCAAGGGGCUUGGGGCUCCCCCGACAGCUGCGGCCUUGGACCCUGGCCCCAGGGGUGCACUCUGCUGGAAAGUUCUCUGCGGUCUCCAGAAGCACCCACCCAGGCGUGGGAACCUGCCCCGUGGAACUUGGGGCUGUUCUGCUGGAACCUCAGGGACUGGGUCCGAAGCUUGGGGACCCCACCUGGUCCCGAGCUCUGAGCGCCCUCAGGGUGGGGUGGGCCUGGCUCACGCGGAGGGGUCUCCCAGAGCCUGGCACAGCGCCGGCACAGCAGGGACACACAGCCUUCCUGUGGGGCUGGAGAAAAUGGACACGUCCAGCCAAUGCCAUCAGACCACGCGUCCGUGUCGCCAGAUGCCUCUGCUGGGGCUGCCAAGAUGGCAACCAGUGCACCGUCUGGCUUCGACGCUGCGUAUUAACGGGCAGCCUGGUGAUGCACGUCCGCCCGCCCAUGUUUCGAUGUGGGAAAAAGGUCUUUUCUCCGAGGGCCUGGGAGUCUGCGAUGGGCUUCCCCGGUCUCUCUUGCAUGAACCACAUGCCCAGUGCAUCUCUUGCCUUUUGCAGUUUCUGUUUCUUUAAAGUGGGGAGAGAAGGAAUAUGUUCCCAGAGACACCCAACUGGAGAGCUCCUGGGCAGACUUCAAUGCUCUAAGGCUCUUUCUGAUGACACUGGCCCCACCUGGAGAGUCCGGGGUGAUCUCUCCAUGAGGUCAGCUGCUUGGGUCGCUGAGUCCCGGGCGUCACGCCCAGCGCGGUGGCUGCAGGGAACAGCACCGCAGCGCAUGUGGAAAAGCAGCUGAGGGCAGAGCCUGAAGUCCUCACCACAGGGAAAAAGCAGAACGUGUUAUAACCGUGUCCGUGAGGGAUGUCAGCUUUCAGACUUACUGUGGUGAUCGCUUCACAGCGCACACAAACAGCGAACCGUGAUGUCCCACACCUGAAACUAACACAACGUCAGGUGUCAGUUAUACCUCAAUGGAAAUAAGGAAUGGAUCAGUCAAAAUAAACAAAGAUUUCCUCGAUAAAAACUGAAACGU